AGUCAUACGCUCGUCUCAAAGAUUAAGCCAUGCAUGUGUAAGUAUAAAUAGUUAACUUUGAAACUGCGAAUGGCUCAUUAUAUCAGUUAUAGUUUAUUUGAUGAAGAAUACUAAUUGGAUAACCGUAGUAAUUCUAGAGCUAAUACAUGUAUAAAGUCUUGUAGACUGCAUUUAUUAGAAUGAAAACCAUAGGUUUCGGCCUAUUCGUGAGUAAUAAUAACUAAUCAUAUCGUAUGCUUAUGUAACGAUGUGUCUUUCAAGUUUCUGCCCUAUCAGCUUUCGAUGGUAGUGUAUUGGACUACCAUGGCAGUAACGGGUAACGAAGAAUUUGGGUUCGAUUUCGGAGAGGGAGCCUGAGAGAUGGCUACCACAUCCAAGGAAGGCAGCAGGCGGGUAAAUUACCCAAUCCUGACACAGGGAGGUAGUGACAAUAAAUCACAAUGCGGAACAAUGUUUUGCUAUUGGAUUGAGAACAACGUACAAACCUUAUCGAUAAACAAUUGGAGGGCAAGUCUGGUGCCAGCAGCCGCGGUAAUUCCAGCUCCAAUAGCGUAUAUUUA
rnacentral:rRNA from 1 species